GUUAUAGUUGCAAACUCCAUUAAAAAUUUGAAUUGAGAUCAGUUUUGGAAAAAUGGAAAGGGGGAUGUGAAAAAAAAAUUGGGGGGGGGGGUUAAACUUGUCUCAUUUCAGAUUUCAUAAAAAAAAAGAAAAUUUCUUCAAACAUUUUUUUGAGAGGAUUAAUAUUCAACUGCAUAGUGAAUUGCUCAAAGGCAAAAAAAAAUAAAAGUUCAUUAGACCACAUUCAUUCUGUGUCAGAAACCUAUGCUGUGUCAACUAUUUAAUCACAAUCCAAAUUUAGAGCUGAAUCCAGCUUGAAUGUUGUGUCCAUACUUGCCCCAACCGUUCAGGGUUCAACCUCUGCGGUCAUAUAAAGCUGCACCCUGCAGAGCAUCUGGUUUUCAUUUGAAGCUAAGUUGAAAUUUUCUCUCUCUUAUUUUUAACCAUGGAUUGCUGAAUUGGUCAAAGGAUAAGUUAAACUGCUAGCCUGC
rnacentral:lncRNA from 1 species